AUUAACUCGUCAUUACAUAAUAAUACUGUUUGUAUUAAUAAAAUGCCCAAAACAUAAAACUAAUGCCAACUGGCUAACAUUAUCUUGCAGUGAUAAAUGAACAAAACAAUGCUGGUGGUGUCCACAUUAACACCUUUGCUUGUAGAAUCUUCCUGUGCUUUGGAAUCUGCUGCAUUAUCUCUCUAUUAUAUUGUAUCAACCUGACAGUGUAUAUCUGGAGCACUACUUCAUUCUUCAUCCGCAAAUUAGAAAACAUGUAUUAGCAACUCAAUUAACAUUUUAUAUAUCAACCUUAAAAGAAAACUUGUUUCAAGCAAACUAUAGAUCAAACCAAUUAACAAACUAAAAAGAGAAUGUUAGAUAACAGGGAUGAACUCAAUCAAUCAUCAACGAGUCAGUGACAACAUCAUUGAUGAUCUUGUGGUGAAUCCUAGUUUUAAGCAACUUAACUAUACUAGGACACUUCAAUAUAUAAAAACAUAGCUAUGUCAUAAUUAGUCAUAGAAGUUUAAGCUUAUCUCAAUGGGUAUGCAACCCAAGAAAACAUCAAUGAGUCAGUGACGUUAGUGACAACAUCACCGAUGAUAUUGCAUUGCAUCCUGUGAAAAUCAGCUUAACUAUUCUAGGACAUUUUAAUCUACAAAAACUUUCGUUAUGAGAGAAUUUGUGAAUAAGAACAUAAUCAAGACUAUCUUUGGAUGAACUGCAAAUUGGAAGUGAAUAAUUAGGAGACAGUGUUAUUUAUAAUGCCAGAUGGAGUGAGAGAUUGAGUCUCUAAUAAGUAGUGUCUAGGUCAACUAAUCAAUUAGUCUUGAAAAUUUAGCUGCUUUUGAUUUUUUGGUGGAUCAAGGAGAUGCAAUUCAUAAUAAGGUUAAAAAUUGGGGAUGCAUGUAUGUUUAAGACAAGUUAGUCAAAUAAGUGGCUCAGAUGACAAGUUAAUCAAAAAUACUUUAUGAAGACUAGCACAUGUGGCACACGCGAUGCGUGUGACAAAAAAAAUGUUGAACAAAAGAAAUUGUAACUUUUACAAAUAAAUUAAAUUUGAGGAAAGAAAAUUUUAUUUAUAAAUCAAAAGAAUGAAGUUGACGUAUCAUUAUUCUCACAAAAAAACCAUUAUACAAUUAACAAUAAAACUCAUUAAUUCAUGCUUGUGCAACUAAAAAGUAAAAACAAAAAAAAUUAUGCAACUAAAAAAUAAAUUAAUAUAUGAACUAUAUAACUGAAUAAAAAAUAUUUUUACCUAAAGUAGAAGAAUAGAAUAUUUUGGUAUAUAUUGGCUUCUGGUGACACAAUGGUGACUGAGCUUGUAUCACUAUUUUUGUUGCAAACACCACUGUCCAUUGCAUUUAUGGAUUAACAACAAAAAAACUAUUAAAAAGUAAGAAAUCACAUAGAAUACAACUAAAAGGUAUAGGAAAAUAAAUGUAAUUACCGUGAAAAACCCCAGUAAUUAUCUUCCUUGGCCUGGCCUUUUCAUGGUUGUCAAUUUAACCAUUAGCUUCCUCAUUUUCAUUGCGAACAAUACAGAUAAACCUUGAGAGAAAAGGGGAAAACAAUGCAAGAACUGAACUUUAAAUUUAUGCAUUAAAUAAAAAAUGACUUAAUUAUUGAAAAAACCAAUAAACUCUUGUUAAGUUAUCAAAAAAUCAUACAAACAAUUUUUUAACACAAAUAAUAUUGAACUUUCAAAUAAUUGUUAUAAGUAUCCAUAUUUUGACCAAGUCUCCAACUCUGGUUAACUAGUGAUGAUGUGGCAUCAUAAGUUGCAUUUGACGUGUAAUCUAAUGCUGACAUGGAAUUUGACACUACAUCCAAGGGAUAAUUUUCUUUUAUUUGAUUAUAAAAUUAUUAAAAGAAAAAAAAUCUUAGAAGAUUUAUUAUAAAAAAAGACAUUUUAACAAGCACAAAAUUGUUAUUUUAAAAGAAUUAAAAUUGAAAUUUAAAAAUUUAAGAUAUUUUUAAAUUAAAUGGAACCGAGUUAAAUAAAACUCUUUAUAUAUAUAUAUAUAUAUAUAUAUAUAUAUAUAUAUAUAUAUAUAUAUAUAUAUAUAAAACCUCCACCAUUCCUGCAAUCCUAUUCUUUCUUNNNNNNNNNNNNNNNNNNNNNNNNNNNNNNNNNNNNNNNNNNNNNNNNNNNNNNNNNNNNNNNNNNNNNNNNNNNNNNNNNNNNNNNNNNNNNNNNNNNNAGAGAAAUCUGUAAUUAUUAGAUUGGAAUGAGAUAUGUAUUUUUUGGAAAGGAAUUUUGUUCUCAGAUCUAUGUGUUCAAAGUUGAAAAUUUUAAAAAUUGUGGUGUGAUUGUAAAGUUUGAGAUAAGAUUGUGGUGUAGGGAAGAAAGAGGUACUUGAUAAUGGUAAUGGGGUGGUGGCUGGCGGUAGUAGUCUUGACGGUGGUGGUGGCACAAGGCGAUGGUGGUGAUUUUUUUUAAUUUGUUAUUUUUCUAUAAACAGUAUUUGAAAUAAUUUUUAAUUUUAUGUUUUUAAAAUCAACAUGUCAAAUAAAUAUAUAAUGUAAUCAAAGAGGGUAAUAGAAAAUAAUAUUUAUUCCAGCUCAUAUAGGCACAUCAAUUGCCAUGUCAUCCGAGUUAACUAUGGUUGGUGGCUUAGUCAAAAUUUGGGUAUGUUAGACAAUUGUUUGAAAGUUUAAUGUUAUUUGUGUUAAAAAAAUAAUUUGUAUGUAUUUUUGAUAGCUUAGUAAGUUUGUUGAUUUUUUUGGUAACCAAGUCAAUAAAAAAUCCCCAACUGAUUCAAUAUACAAUAUAUAGAGAUAAAAAGAAAAGAGAGAGGAACGUGAGAGGUUUAGGAGAUAAAAGGGAAUGACAAAAAGUGGGGGAGAGAAAAAAUGAAUUAAAAUAUUAAAAUUUUUAUCUAAGGUAAUGUUUUAAUUGCAGUUAAUGUUUCCUAUUUGUAAUUUAGCAGCUUCUUUUUUUAGUAGAUGAAAGGAAAAGAAAAAUUCAGAAAAUAGAGGAGAAAAAUAAGUGAUAUAGUGGAGAGAUAAGGACAAUAAUUUAAAAUAUAUUUAACCUAAAGUGUGACCCAAUAUCACAAAAAGUGGUUACAAAAGCUGGACGCUUUAUAUUAAGAGAUGACAACCCCAUAUACUUGGGAAUCUCAGAUAACAGGAAAAUAUGUCAUAUACCAAACACACCCUUAGAUUCAUGCAAUGACUGGAAUUUAUUUAUGAAAUUAUAUAGUCAAAAUAAGAUUUAUAUUUAAGUUUACAUUGUUAAAAUUGGAGCACAACGACGUUGGGCUUCUUGGAAAGCGCGUGUGAGAGCUACUUGGUUGGUAGUUGUAUUAACAAAUAGUUAUAUGGUUGAUUUGAUCGAUGACUAGAAGAACUUAUUCAAUAUGAUGGUCACACAACAAAUAGUUGUAUAGUUGAUUUUAUUGAUGAGUAGAAGAACUUAUUCAAUAUGGCAGUCACUGUGUGACAUUGUCUCAUAUACAAUGUAUCAUGUGACUUGCAUGUGUUAAUGUAUGUGAGAGAGCGUCACACAGUGAUUGUUAUACUACAUAGUUUUUCUUAUGAAUAAAUAUAUCAGUUUUGAUAGUUGGUAGUUGUGUAAAGAAUUUUUUUUGGGUUAAAUAUAAUCUAUGACUAGAAGAACUUAUUUGAUGUGACGGUUACUGUGUGUCAUUGUUUCACAUACAAUACCUUGUGACUUGCAAAUGUUAAUGUAUGAGAGAGGGUGUUACACAAUGAUCAUGCUAAAUAGUUUUUCAAAUGACUAGAUAUAUCAUAUUUGAGCUCUAGAGGAGGACACAUGGGUGGUUUUCCCCCCUCUAGAUUGUAAGUAAAGAAGAGACCAAAAUACUUGUUUACCUUGGUAUGAAGGAACAAUUUAGUACUCCAUUUGUUCCUACAUUAUUGUCCCUCCUUUUUUUUGGGAUGAUCGGAACUAUUCUUAACUUUGACAAUUCAAACAUUUAUUAAUGCUACUUUUUGAGUUUUCCCCUUUGUUGAUAUAUUAAGCUAUCUUUUCAAGCUUCCAUCAAUAAUGCGGGUAAAAUUCAAAUGUAAAUCACAAAUGUCACUGAAGUCAAUUAAUUCUCCUAAAAAUCUAGUUUAAAGUUAAAGAGAAUUAUAUUUUAGAAAUGGAGGAAGUAGUAGAUACCAUGAAACUGAAGAUUCCGAUGGUUUUCUUUUUUCCUUUUUUGGCUCGAGUGUUUUCCUAAACUGAUUUUGCUGUUAAUAAAUGUUUUACCCGAGCUCUAAAAAUCUGUCUAAAUGAAGUCCCAAAUCUUACUUUUGACCUGGUAAAGCUUGAGCAGACUGAAUCCUUGUUUGGGUUGGUUCAUUGGCAAUGGAAGAUAAAAAUGAAUUUGAGCUGAUUUAAACUUUAAAGGCUGUCUGAAAUGUAUGUUUCUUCUCACAUAGGUAUCUAUUUCACAUGCAUAAUAGGAGAAAUUGUACAUUAUAUAAUGUUUAGAAGGAGCAAAACUAACUGAAUAGGAAAUGGUUUUCGUGACCAUUUUUCUUUCCUUCCCCACAAACAUGUACACCAAGUGCACGGGAGCAUAAAAUUAUGAGGAACUUUUACCUACUUUGAAAUCAGAAGAGCAUGAAUUAAGGAUUAUGACAAGAUGAAAAUUAUGUAAUGUUGAAUUGUGAUGAGAAUAAAUGAAUAGUUGGAAAAGAAUGUAUUGAAACUAUAGGUUCCGCAAACUGAAUUGCUGAAAUCUAUAAAUUCUGCCUGAUAGAGAUAAAUGAUCCGAAAGGGCCAAGCCUGUUCUGGAUGAAUGCUAGGAGAAACAUCCAGAAAUGCUUAAGCUAGGUUGUAUACCCUGAGAAGUCUGGAUUUUACUUACCAAGAUUAGAUUGAGCCAUGUUUCCUGCUAUUUUAAUUGUUGCUGUGAUCACUCUAAAGUCACCUUUAUCUUGUCAAAAUCAAUAUGCAUUAGUAGUUUAAUUACAUGGCUGUAUGCACUUUCAUAUAAUCCUUUUUUAUAACCUUGCAUGUCUUAACAGAAAAUAUAUUUGAUAUGCAGCAGACAUACACAGAUAUAAAACGCAUAAUAAAGUAUGGACAUGGUAUAGAUUUGACACGAUAUUGACAUGAUAACUGUUUUAAAAAAAGAUUUUGGGUUGCUUUGAGCUGGCAAUUGAGUCAUUGAAUUGGGGAUUUUUUGUCGAGGGUGACAGUUGAGCUUUUUGCCCCCACUCUGCUUUUUGACUGACAACAAGAAUGUAUGCACGACUUUUGCCCUUUCUUGGGUUCUUUUAUUUUAUUUUAUUAUGUACUUUUUAUUCAAGUCUAAAAUAAUUACUUUAUUAAUUGUAAUAAUUAUUAUGUAAUUCUAAAUUUCUCAAAAGGUUGCUAGUGGAAUGAAUCAUAAGAAUUUUUAGGGAGAUCCGGCUGGUGUCCGGUGAGGUUGUCAUAGAUGCGAGUUUAAUUAUCGAGAAGAUCAUUGGGUUCCAUAUGAAGUUCUUUGAGGAGGAGGUUAAGAUGGACAUUUGUUUAAGAGGAUAGAUUGGGCUCCAUUUCGAGGAAGAUAAAGUGCAUAGUUGGAGAGGUCUUUUGAAGAGGAAGAGAUUAAAGGGACUGUUUGGGAUGGAUAAAGAGAGAGCCACUUACUAUCAGUCAAGUUGGGUAUGGUGAAUGAGGAUCUUAGGAAAGCUUUUAAGAAGUUCAAUGCUAUUGGUGUUUUGAGAAAUAGGAUGAACUCAAAAUUUACUAUCUAGUUCUUAAGAAGGAACUCUCUAUCAAGGAUUUUAGACUCAUUAGUCUUGUGACUAUGUGUAAAAGAUCGGACUUAGAUUCUUUCCAAGAAACUAAGUGGUAAUAUGGGGGAUACCAUUUCAGAUGCUUAGAGUUCUUUUUUAUACCUUUUUUUUGUGGGGAAUGCAGGUUCUAGAUGCUGCGUUGGUGGCUAUGAAGUGGAGGAAGAUGUUUACAGAAGGGAGAGGAGGGACCUGGUGAAUAUUUAGACUAUUUAGAAGUCGAAACAAAAGAUUAUGGAACACGUUCGUGGUUUAGAUAUAGAAGAACAUAGUUGUUAAAAUCGUACGAUAAACAAUUCGUAUCAUAGGAUUUGAUUUAGAGAAAAAACUAUGCAUAAUCGUAUGGGUAUCGAAGUUUGUAUGUGAAUCGUAUGUAUCGACCCCGUAUCAUGAAUCAUAUGUAUCGUGACGAUACUUCAGUGAUUAAAAAAAAUUGAGUCGUUAAAAAAGCCCAAAAUAUGCAGAUAAUUGUUUACCUUUUAGUAUCAUAAGACUCUUAGUUUCAGUAGCCCACCCACCCAUCACAAUUUCCAAAGCUUUCCGAGCCCUAUUUGUGCUGAUAGAUCGUAUCAGAACUUCAAUUGACCAAGGACUUCGACAACAGUAAGCGACUUGAGAGUUGAGAUUGAGAGUUUAGGCGAGUUGCAAUGUGAUUGUUGAGUUUGAUUGUCGUCUUCAUCAUCGACCUACCGAGCUUUGUACGUCACUUGCCCCUUUGACGAACACUCCGUGUCUUUA
rnacentral:lncRNA from 1 species